UUUCUACUCCCUCCGUCCGAAAAUACUUGUCAUCAAAAUGGAUAAAAAGAGAUGUAUCUAAAAAAACUAAAAUACGUCUAGAUACAUUUCCUUUUACCCAUUUUGAUGACAAGUUCCGGAUGGAGGGAGUAUUUG
rfam:Triticum aestivum genome assembly, contig: Triticum_aestivum_CS42_TGACv1_scaffold_067802_1DL